rnacentral:rRNA from 1 species
GACGAACGCUGGCGGCGUGCUUAACACAUGCAAGUCGAGCGGUAAGGCCCUUUCGGGGGUACGACGAGCGGCGAACGGGUGAGUAACACGUGGGUGACCUGCCCUUAGCUCUGGGAUAAGCCUGGGAAACGUGGGUCGUAAUACCGGAUAUGACUCCAUGACGCAUGUUGUGGGGUGGAAAGCCUUGUGCGGCUAGGGAUGGGCCUGCGGCCUAUCAGCUUGUUGGUGGGGUGAUGGCCUACCAAGGCGACGACGGGUAGCCGGCCUGAGAGGGCGACCGGCCACACUGGGACUGAAGACACGGCCCAGACUCCUACGGGAGGCAGCAGUGGGGAAUCUUGCGCAAUGGGCGAAAGCCUGACGCAGCGACGCCGCGUGGGGAUGACGGCCUGU